rnacentral:rRNA from 1 species
GACGAACGCUGGCGGCGUGCCUAAUACAUGCAAGUAGAACGCUGAAGGAGGGGCUUGCUUCUCCGGAUGAGUUGCGAACGGGUGAGUAACGCGUAGGUAACCUGCCUGGUAGCGGGGGAUAACUAUUGGAAACGAUAGCUAAUACCGCAUAAGAGUAGAUGUUGCAUGACAUUUGCUUAAAAGGUGCAAUUGCAUCACUACCAGAUGGACCUGCGUUGUAUUAGCUAGUUGGUGGGGUAACGGCUUACCAAGGCGACGAUACAUAGCCGACCUGAGAGGGGGAUCGGCCACACUGGGACUGAGACACGGCCCAGACUCCUACGGGAGGCAGCAGUAGGGAAUCUUCGGCAAUGGACGGAAGUCUGACCGAGCAACGCCGCGUGAGUGAAGAAGGUUUUCGGAUCGUAAAGCUCUGUUGUAAGAGAAGAACGAGUGUGAGAGUGGAAAGUUCACACUGUGACGGUAUCUUACCAGAAAGAGACGGCUAACUACGUG